UACAGAGGUCCCAAGCGUUGUUCGGAUUCAUUGGGCGUAAAGGGUGCGUAGGUGGCGUGGUAAGUCGGGUGUGAAAUCCCGGGGCUCAACCCCGGGACUGCAUUCGAUACUGGAUAUCUUGAGUUCGGGAGAGGUGAGUGGAACUCCGAGUGUAGAGGUGAAAUUCGUAGAUAUUCGGAAGAACACCAGUGGCGAAGGCGACUCACUGGCCCGAUACUGACGCUGAGGCGCGAAAGCGUGGGGAGCAAACAGG
rnacentral:rRNA from 1 species